UACGAAGGGGGCUAGCGUUGCUCGGAAUUAUUGGGCGUAAAGGGCUCGUAGGCGGUUUGUCGCGUCGGGAGUGAAAACACUGGGCUUAACUCAGUGCUUGCUUCCGAUACGGGCAGACUAGAGGUAUUCAGGGGAGAACGGAAUUCCUGGUGUAGCGGUGAAAUGCGCAGAUAUCAGGAGGAACACCGGUGGCGAAGGCGGUUCUCUGGGAAUGUCCUGACGCUGAGGAGCGAAAGUGUGGGGAGCGAACAGG
rnacentral:rRNA from 1 species